rnacentral:rRNA from 1 species
CCUGGCGUCAAUGGCGGAGGGGCCACACCCGUUCCCAUUUCGAACACGGAAGUUAAGUCCUCCAGCGCCGAUGGUACUGGUUGGUUACCGGCUGGGAGAGUAGGUCGGCGCCGGGC